AGCUUCUUGGCCCCUGGGGUGGCACUGGUGGAUGGCGCCUCUCGCGGGGAGGUCCUGGGGUUUUCGCUUCCAGGCCUUGGGGUAGGAGGGCCCUGUGACAGGCCUAGGGGUGAGGCCGUGGAGGUCCUAACAUCUGCACGACAGGUACUUUCACCGGUUGGUUGCCAAGUCUGUGGAGCCCUGAAUGGAGAGGCACAAGAGCUGGCGCGGCCCUCUGGGUGGGCAGGGGUAGUUGUGCUGUGAUUUGUGGAUAGCAUGAAAGGAGGGACCCCAGGAGCAGCAUCGGGUGUGGGCGCUUACCAGAGGGAACUGCUGCCAAAUCCCUGCAGAUUUGUUCCUGAGAAAGUGCAAGGCAGAUGCGGGUUCCUCAUUAUGGGGUAGCCGCGCCUCUGCUCCCUGCCUGUUACUGCUCUGUCCAGAGAGGUGGACACCCGCUUGGUGAGCCCAGAUGAGGGCUCUGUGCGUCCAGGGAGACCAAACAAGUCUAAGUCCCUUGCAUGAGUUAAAAUGACAUUAACAAACCUGUUAGCAAUGCACCCAUGAAAGGAAACUGCUUUCUUUGCUCCUGAAUUACAGGUUGUCAUGGACUGACAGACCCUUGUGUACUAAAGAGACAGCUAGUGAGGCUGCCACCCAUUCCUUCUCCUUAGUGUUUUCUUCCUGCGUCUCUUCCGGGCUGGCCCGGGAGAGAGGCGCACACUGCUUCAGAACUUGUGGCUGCCCUCCCUCUGAGACUUGCCUUUGAAUAGGAGUCAUUUUUAUUGCUAAAGCCAGGAAGUGCUUGUCUUAGUUUUCUAUGCACUUGGUGAAACUGUUCUUUGGGUUCUUAUGGGUCAGGUGUUUCUUUGAUAAGUGAAUCACCCUUGUGCUUUGACUAUCCUGGUCAUUGUGUUUGGUGUACAUUUCCAUAAUAUGAUGUGGACAUGCACUUUGUGAAGGUGCUCUGGAGGGCCAGUCUACUUUUGAUAAUUCAGCUUUAAAAAACGUUUCUUGCACUGAGUUGGGACUCUAAAAGACAAAAGGUUAGCAGAAUCCUCUCGAGGGCGAUGGAAUGGGAAACACUGCUAAAGGCAGGGUAAAAUAAGAAAAAUUCUCCUAGUAAACAGAGCUUGGGAUUUGAAAUUGAUUGAAUGCUGAGAUGAUUCUGCUGUCACUUGAGAAUGGAGAUACAAUUUGAUAAAUGUGCUGUUAAGUGAUUUUAUCAUCAUGGGAAUAUCAUCCUGUUCCAAAACUAGCAGACUAGAGAGGCUCCAAAGUCCCUAGGAAAUAGGAUAUGAUGAGAGUGCACUUUUCUUUGUUGUUUUUUUUUCCUCUUUUUUUCCUUUUUUCUGGUACCAGGGAUCAAACUCAUGACCACCUGCUUGCAAGGCAGGUGCUUAUGCCACUGAGCUAAAUCCCCAGCCCCCGAUGAGAGUGCUCUUGUGUAUGACCUCUGUGACUGCCCAAAGUGUCAUCAUGCAGUGCAUGACUGUAUUCGUGUGGGCAUGAAAUUGUGAUGUAGGGAAAUGGUAGUGGCUGGGGUAAUGACCAGCUAGAUUUGUGACCUUCCCUGGUCAAGUUAUUUCACCUUAAAUUGAAAAAUUGGAGUGUUAAUCCUUCCUCAUUGGUUCAAGAGCAAUUUGUGAAAAUACGUGAGAUGCAUUUUACAACAAUGUCUCAACUGGGACAAUACAGAUGUUUUAUUAAUCAUUUCAUUGGUUCCUCUGUUACAAGAUCUUGGAUGAGUCUCUGAGCAUCUCUCAGAGUGAAGCCUGCAAACUGAUAAAUGAGGACAUUGACCUGGAUGAGUUUUAUUUUUAAAAAAAAUCUUUUCUGGGAGGAGGUCUCACAGUGUUGCUCUAGUUAGUUUCAAAUCCCUGGAUUCAAGCACUCCUCCUGCCUCAGCCUCCUGAGUAGCUGGGACCAUACAGCCACUGUUCCAGGCAGUCUGGAUGAUUACUAAGCACCCUGCAUUUCUUUGGACAUAGGAUAUUCCUGAAGAUCCAGUAGGCAGUAUUCUUGGAAAAACCUGACUGCCUGUGCAAGCCGGGCUAUGAUGUGUUCUUGCCCAGCUCCCUUCCUCUUUUCUCCCAGUGACAGCUCUGUGCAGGGCUGUACCGCUUGCAUGUUUGCUGUAGUUUCUGCUCCUUAAGAACAGCUAAUGGCCUCUGGCCACUUGUGUGCUUUACAACAUUGUGUCUCACCCUCAUGUGUAAUCUGAUAAACCUGUGAAAUAUGUGGGAUGCAUUUUAUCUCUGCUUUACAAAUGAAGGACUUGGACUGGGGAGGGGGGCUAUAGUUUGAGUGUGUCCCCUCAAAAACAGGCAUCGGAAACUUGAUUUCCAGGGCAACAGAUUCCGGGAUGGAGUCCAGUGGGAGGUGUUCAGGUUGUGAGGACUCCACCAUCAUGCACUAGUUACUGCCAGGUCAGAGAGCACUUGAGGCGGCAGGUUUAAUCCCUCACUUUCUCUCACCCUGUCUUUGCCAUCUGCCAUGGGAUGGUUAAAGCAGAUGGAACCCCCAACCCUGGACUUCCUGGCUUCCAGAACUGCAAGCCAGGAAACUACUACUAUUUAGAAGUUACCCAGUCUGUGGUAUCUUGUCAUAACAGCAGAAAGUGGACCAAGACACUGACUCAAGAAGAAAUAGAAAAGCUGAGCAGAUCAGUAAUAAAAUAAUGAAUUAGUGAUAGUAAUAACAUAUAAAAACCUCACAAAGAAAAGCUCAGAACCAGAUGGCUUUUUCUGAUGAAUUCUACCAAAUAUUUAAAAAAUUAGUAGCAAGUCUUCAUAAACUCUUACCAAAAAAAAUUAGAAAAGUGAGAGUAAUUAUCACAUCAUUUUAGGCAUUACCUGAAUACUAACACCAGAAAAAAAUGCACAAGUAUGAAGAGUACAGACAGCAUUUGCUACUUAGACGUGAAAAUCCUCAACAAAAUUCUAACAACAGAUUCAGCAACAUAUGAAAAAGAUUAUACCCUAUGAUCAAGUGAUAAUGCAAGGUUAAUUUAGCAUCCAAAAACAAAUCAAUUGAUGUAAUAUACUGUAUUAAAAGAGUGGAGGACAAAAGCCACAUAAUCCCCUCAAUAGAAGCAGAAAAAGCAUUUAACAACUCAACAAUCUUUGUGAUUAAACAGCCAGAAAACCAACUAGAAAUGAAGGGAGUUUCUUGCACCUGAUAAAGGGUAUUAGUGGAAAACUUGUGAGUAACAUCAUAGGUAAUUUGGAAUGGCUAAGUAUUUUUCCCUCAAGAAUAGUACAAAGAUGUCUACCCUCACCUCUUCUAUUCAAUGUUAUACUGGAGGUUCCAACCAGAGAAAGUAAGGGAGAAAAUGAAACAAAAGGCACUCACAUUGGAAAGGAAGAAGUAAAGCCAUCUGUUUCUGUAGCAUGAUCUCAGAUAGGAAAUCCUAACCGUUUUUUUUUUUAAAUUAGAAACAAUAAUGACUCAACAAUGUUGCCAGAUACAAGAUCAAUAUACAAAAAUCAACUAUUUCUAAAGACUAGUAACAAACAGUUGGAAAAUGACAUUUAAAAGCAAUUUAAUUUACAGCAAUGUCAAGAGAAUAAAAUGAGAAUGAAUGUAAUAAAAGAAGUCUGAAAAAUACUGCUGAAAGAAAUUAAGAAAGGCCUGAAUCAAUGGGAAGGCAUCCGUGGUUCACAGAUCUGAAGACACAUCCCACAUGGUUCAGCAGAGUCCAAGAGAAAAAGCAUAUGCUGAUUUGUUAAGUGAAUAUUAUUUUUCCUUAGGGAGGUUCAUUAAAGCUGGAUUUAUUUUCUAGAUGCAGCAUGGAAAUAUGCUGUGAGCUUUUUUGUCAUUGUGGUAUUGUUUCAGUGUUCUAUUAUUGGGUAAUAAACUACCCCAAACUUAGCGGAUGAAGACAGCGGUCAUCUAAUUAUGCCUCAUCAUUCAACUGGGAUGGUAGCUAGGAUCCCAUGGCUGGUAACUGGGUGUUCCUCCCUGUGAUCUCACCUCUUUUCAUGGUUGAGUGCCAGUCCCAUCUUCAAGGGCCUCUCCAUCGGAACUAUCUGGAAUUCUUACCUGAUAGGCCAAGUUUCCAAGAAAGGUGAAGCCAAGAUUUUCUAAGCACAUCUUGAUGCUUGGACUCCAAUCCUGUUAAGUCACUGCUUUCAGGCUUUUUUGGUCAAAGUAGCUAUGAACCCAGUGCAGAUUUAAGAGGAAACAUAAGCUGUGUCUCUUGAUGGAAGGAUCCACACAUGUACUCGGGGACAGGUGGUGCUACUGGCCGCUGUGUUUGUUUCCUAUUGUUGCUGCAGUGGAUGUGCUAACUUUAAACAAUUCAGUUUUAAACAUACGUAGUUUUUUCUGCAGUUCAGACACAGGUCUUAUUUGGUCACAGUUAAGGUGUCAGCAGAGUUAUGUUCCUUUCUGCACUGGGCUUUCUAAGGGAGAAUCCUUUUGCAGCUUUUGGAAGCUUCCUGCAUUCCUGGGCUUGUGGCCCUGUUCUUCUUUUUCCGAAGCCAGCAGUGUUAGCCUGGGCUUUCUUGUGUUACCAUGUCUCUAGCUUCUUCUUUUCUUUUUCUCUUCUAUGCUUAAUGGCCCUUGUUGAGUACAUUGAGUCCUCUGGGUAAUCCAGGAUAAUCUCUGUGUUUUAGAGUCAACUGAUUAGCAACUUAAUUCUAUCUACAGCCUAACAUAUUCUCAGUUUCCAGGGAGUAGACUGUAGAUGUUUUGAGAGAUGGGGAAGAAAUUUUUUUUUUUUGUAUCACAACUGCUACCUUGAAGGCUGUCUCAGCUGGUAAUGUGUUCAUUGCUUUAUAGAAAUAGGUAAUGUGGGAGGUAUGGUCAGAAAAUAGAGCGUGUGUUUAAGUUUUUAAAAAUUUCAUUACAGUAAAAGGCACAGAACACUCCUCACUGCUGUGAACACUUUUAUCUGUUGUUUUUGACACUUUCUGGAGCAGCACCGGAAGGCCCGUCCUGUGACCGCCUUUAGUUGUAGUAUGGGGCUGCUCCCGUGACCUCAGUGGAUUCAAAACAUUCACCUUUCAUUGUCGUUUAGACUUUGGGAAGGAGGCAAGUAUUACACAGUGCUGGUCUGGUGAAAAGCAGAUAAGGAUGUACGGAACGUGUUCAUUUGGCCGUCUCUCGGUUAGAUGGCAUUUGCCUGAAGCAUUGGCUGGAGUUUUGAUUGAGAAACUCCUGAUAGAGGACUUCUAGCACUGCUUUGGAAAGUGGCAAGAACAGGGGGAUAAGUGUGCUUGAAGUAAGGAGAGUGUUUGGCAGGGCGAGUAACAACAAGGUGUCUUUUUCUGUAAUAAAAUAAUAAUUAAACUUUUUAGUCACAGUAUUUUUUGAUCACCCAUUGUAUAGCAUGUGCAUCUGAGGUGUCUGUGAGAUGGUGAAGUUUGCUAGUGACCCGAGUCAGGCCCUGGAUUUAUUCAGAUGCCCCAGACUGAGGGAAUGUGGUUCCUUAUGCUCAUGAUGUGAAGUGGCAGCCUUUGGUGGUGGCCCAGUCAGGUAGGACCUGACGUGUCAUGAUGACGAUAGCUUCCCAUGUGACAGACGAUGGAAACUUGUCAGAUUGGUUCCCUAGAAUGAGUGCUGCAAUGCGCGGUGAUUACCUCUAGUGUAGAGCAUCAAGGACCAUUCCUACCUUCAAGCAUGAAGUAAGUGUGAUGUAAAGUGAGAUGAGAUGGCUUCAGAUGCCAGGACAUCGUCGUCCUGCCUUUUUCCUUUACCUUGGCAUUUUAUAGGACUGUCCAGGAUGGUUUCUUGCCUCUAGCACCUGGGGCUUCUUCCUGGGGGUCUUUUAGGCAGGGCGCCAGGCCAAUCCUGACACAAAUCCAGUGGCUUCUCAUUUGAAUUCUCUCCACUGGAGCUGUACUUCCGCUGUCUGCUUUGCAAAGCCGAAGACAAAACUCAGAAGUAGAACCAGCUACCCAAGUAUGAUUGGCUCUCACGCUUGUGUGCCACCCUCAAGGUGCGCCUAUCAGCAGUGACAGAUUAAAAAAGCAGAGAGGAGGGGUAGCAGCAGAUUCUGGCUAACAGCAGUGCAGUCUUCAGGUUUUGAAUGAGUUUGUUAGCCCAGGGCAUUUGAUUUGCUUAUGAUGAAUGUAUCCCUAACGCUUUUCAUCCAGAACUCCGUGUUGGUCUGCACACAGGAUUCUACUGUUGUCUGCUCUUGGAAAACCCUGUGGGAUUCACAGUCUGGCUGAGGGUUCAGCUCCCAAGCAAGAAACUGGAGACUCCUAGUAGGAGCUCAGAUGUUUAGACAUUAGCCAUUUAAAUAUACAGAACCAGCAGAGAGAGGCUGGAGGCUUGGCUCAGUGGCAGAGUGCUUACCUAGCAUACACAAGGCCCUGGGUUCAAGUCCCACCCACCACACAUGCACAUCAGAUACUGAUACUGAAGAACAACAACAAAACACACAUUAUCCUCCCUUGCCUCAAAACCAGUAGAGAGAAGAUCCCUGAACAUUUUCUCCUUUGAUUCUAGACACAUCUUUUCUGGGAUGGCAGCUCUGCAUGUGAACUAGUCUACUGGCAAAUGCUUAGGAGUAAAAUAAAAUUAAGACAUUAGACUGAGGAUGGGAAGAGGAGGGUGGAGAAGAGAUGCAACGAGACCUCUGUUCUGAAAGUGCUCAGUCAGGUCCUGAGAUGUGUGGUUCCCUCUCUCCAGUGUCACCUGGUCACUGGGCUCUGUUGGUACUGCUCCUUCUCUCCAGGUCAGCUCUCUGCUCACUUAUCAAUAGGUGUGGACCUCCGAUGGCCACCUUAACCCUGUCUGUGGUCAGCUCCAGUGAUAAUCACUGAUUGCCUCUUCUCUCGGGAUCUCCACAUUUUGUGUCUGGAGACACAGAUUGGCCCAACUCAAAGCAAACAGGCAUUUGUGACCCUAUCAGCUUUGGGUUCAGUCAGCAGCUCUGUCCUGGGAUGAGAGAAGUUCUUAGAGAAGAGGGCUUUGGACUGAGCAGUCACCCCAAAACAAAUCUAAUAAUGUGGCAGGGACUUGCUUUAUGCUUUCAACUUUUGGAGUCAGUAAGAAAAUGGGCAGAGUGUUUUAUUUGUUCUGUGUUGGUUCUUGUUGUCGUCAUUGUUGUUUUAUGGUGCAGGGCUCGAACCCUGGGCCUUGUGCCUGCUGGGCCAGUGUGUACCACUGAGCCACAUCCCCAGCCUGGCAAAAGAGACGCCUGGCCCUGUGUUCCAUGUGUCUCUGUUUUCUUUGGCAUGUGUUCCAAGGCUAUUUUCCCUGUGUGGCUUCUGAGGUGCUCAGGUACCACAGCUCCAUGAGAUGCCACUGUGACCCUGCCCACAGCCUGCAGGCUGCUGUAGGGGGAGUACAAGGGGGCCCCUGAGCUCCUCACACCAGCUUAGGAACAGAAGAGCACCUGUUUCAACUGUGUAAUAAAUAAAGGGCCUGGGGCUUUGGCAGGAAGGCUUGUGAAGCACUGGACUGGAACAGUUUGAAGCCCAGGCCGCUGUCUAUGUCAAGGGGUAGCCCAAAAAAAUCACAAAUCAGUUGUCAGUACUGGCCGAGGUGUAAGAGUUUGGAUAAGAAAGUGGUCGUGAGCUUCGUCAGUAAUUCAAGAAAGUGCUAAGAUGUAGGCAAGGAGAAAGGGGGCUCUUUCUCAAUUCCGGGGCUCUUCCUGUUUAGUCUACUUUCUGCUCGGUCCUCCAAGGUCAGUGACCUUCCCUGGACAAGGGAGCGACCUUGAGCUGUGCCUUGAAGGAAGGGUGAUAUCAGGCCGGAAGGCAGACCUGCAGGGUCUCAGCUUCUUCCCUUUUUCCACAGGAUGCCUCCACAGGCAAAUGGGCGAGACUGAGACCGUAAUCCUAAGUGAGAUAAACCAGACACACAUGUGUGAAACCGUAUUGUCUCCUAGUGUGAGAAGCUGAAAGGAUAAAUAAGAUCCAAAAUGUACAAUAGUAGCUGUAAAAUGGGAAGAAACUUCAGAAGGAAAGAGAAAUUGGGAUGGGGGAAUGGAGAAAAGAAAGAAAGAAAGACAAAAAAGAAAAAAAUAUGAGUGUUAAAAUAGUUACACUACUAAUUUCUCUAAGUUCAUUGAAAAGAAAGGUUUGUGCUAAUAUUGUUUGGAAAGUUAGAUGCCUAUAUCUUGUACUCUGAGUAUCAAUUUAAAGAUGAUAAUACACAGUGUAUUAACCAUUGUUACCCUCCUAUUAUCUUGUUUUGAAAUUUUUAUUUUUUUCUCUUUAAAAUAAAAAAUUUUAAAAGAAUUAGAGUGAUUUUUAAUUUUUGUAGGGCUUUUUAUUUAGAUAAAAAAGCAAAACAGAAAAAAGGAUAGAAAUAAUAAGAAAUGACUAGUCAAAAAAAACAGUAAGAAAUCACUAGUUGAUAAAUUAUGUAUAUGUAUGUUUAAGUGUGUGAGACUUGCUUUAUGCUUUCAAGAUGACCAUAAUACUAAGUUUUUUUAGUUCAUCAAACAGAAUGGUUUGCAUUGUCAUUGUUUGAUUGUCCAUUUUUUAUGCUUUGAUUUUGUAACUUGAACAACUAACUUUAAAAUAAAAUUUUAAAAAAGGAAAAAUCUUGGAUUUAGCUGGAGGGCAUGGAAAUAAUAUGUAAACGAUUUUUUUUUCCUGCCUUGCCUGGUGAUUCAUUCUGCUGGGCUUCAUGGAGUUAUGAAUGAUGUUAUCAUCAUCACCACCAUUUGUUUCCUGCCUGUUGGGCAUCAUACAUUGUGCUUUAUAUAGUUGCUAACUUAAUUAAAUUUGAUUGGAAGCUCUAGUCUGUUUUCUGUGGAGAGGGAAUUGUGAAGGAUAAAUGGAUUAGGAAACUUGCACAAGGUUAUACGAUGAGAAAGGAUCCAAGUAGGAAUUUAGGUCUGGCUAGCUUUCAGCUCCAUACAUGAUCACAUUUGGUUUAACUUCCCGUUACAGAGUUGUUUAUAAACUAGUAAACUAGUGUUACUAGUGAGUUUAAAGUUUUGGUGUUUUUGCAAAGGCCUAAUGAAAUCCGAACGUGUUAAUCUAUAAGUCUAAGUAUUUUACGAGUCACUUGAAAUACUGACUUAUUAAUAGUCACUUUCUUCCAAGGAAAAACUGUCAGUUAAAACUUAAGAGUUUACUUUGUAGUUUUCAAAUAUACAGAAGUGAUAAAUAUGAAUAAAUAUGAAAUGCUUAGACUGCAGUAAAGCUUUUAAGGAAAAAAUGCUUAGGACUGCUGCCUGAUAGCACCUUUUAUGCUAAGUACCUGAAUGUUUUUUAAGCCUAAUGGAGUUACAGCUUCCUCCUGUAAUGGCAAGGUGACAACACUACAACACACAUAGUGUGAAGAGUCCUACGUUUAAAGGACUUUUACUACGAAGGAGACUCCAGGGCAAAGCGUACACACAAGGGCAAAAUGCAGGAGCAGGGUGGCUUAGCAGACAUACUGUGGAUUUCUUUCUUUACUUAGUUACAUGAUCCCUAAUCCUGCCCAGCCCAGUUUUGGUUUGUGUCUGUUUUUCCUCCACUUUGUAUGGGAUUAGUUUAAAUUCAUUGUGGUCUUGUCUUUUGUAUCCCAAGAAGCUAGAAUUCAAUUGAAGAGAUACUUGUGCCUGUUUUGUUUUAUUUAACCUCCAAUUGAGACUAACCACACUCCCAAGAGCUCUGGAAGCUGGGCAUGGGGCCAGCGCAGAGGUGGGGCAUGAACAGCUUGGCAUGACCCCUGCCCAGGAGCAGAUGGAGGCCCAAGGGGAGUUUUCCAAGCUGGCAAUGAGGUGUUUGUGGCUAGGGACCCCAGAGACUUUGCAGUGGAGCUGGGACCAUCAGGAUCCAGAAAGUGCCCUCCAGCCAGUCCGCUCCUGAGGCCUCCCAGACCCUUCCUGCCACCAUGGUACUGGCUCUUUUCUUCCACUGUGGUUCCCGGCUCCUGCCUCAGUUUCCUCUUUUUCCUGCUUGCCUAGUUAAGUAAGUUGAAAUAGGACCUGGACUGGGAAGAUGGGCUUCCUCAACCUCCAGGACCUUUCGUGUCUAUUGCAUUAUUUUUUCUUCCAGAAACCAAAAGAAACUUUGCUAACAAAGGAGAAAAAAGCCCUCUGGCUGUGAGUUUUAAACCUUGACAUAUGGUACAGAAAUGAGAAGGAAAAUUCCACUCCAGUCCAAUCUGCCCUUCAGGUAUGGGGGGAGCAUUUCCUUCCUCAGUGCCUUGGGAAAACUAACCUAGAUUUUUAAAGAAAAAGUUUGUGUUUCCUGGUCAUUUUCUGUGGCUUUGCAGUUCUGUGAUCUAAAAAAGCAGCAGAAGGAGCAGGCAGGGAGUGAUCAUGGUGCGACAUUUCAGAAAGGUUUUAAAACUGUGUUUAUAAAAUUAACAUGUGGUCUGUGUUUAAGGUUGAGGUGACUCACUAUUAAGAUAUCACUUCUUCCUAAAUUGCUCAUAAAUUAAACGUAACUCCAGUGAAAGUCUAUGAAGCAUUUUCAUAGAAAUGUAUAUUUGGCUAAAAGAUAACUGUAGUAGGCAAAGCCAAUCAUAAUUGACAAUCCUUUUUUUCGGAAAGAGAACACAUUUAGAGGAUUUACAUGAAAUAAUUUCAAUAUUCACUGUGAGCCAAAGUGAUCAAGAUAGAGUGAUGCUAUCAAAAGGAUGGAAUUCUAGACCAGUGGACCAGAAAAGAGAUUUCUGAAAUAGGCCCCCAUAAAUAUGAGUUAAUUGAUUUUUGACUAAGGGAAUAAAGCAAUUUGACAGGGAAAGGCAGAAGACUGUACAUCACUCUGUAUACAGAAAUUAACUCAAUGUGGUCAUGGAUUCUAAAUGGAAAACCUAGUUUGCUAUUAGAAAACAUGGCAGAAAGCCUUUGGAACCUUGAUCGGACAGAGUUCUUUUGCUCAAAAACAAGUGUGUGAUUUGCAAAAGAGGAAUUUGAUAAAGUACACUUUGUAAGAAUUGAAAACACCAGGCAUGGUGGUGCACGUUUGCCGAGCGUCAGAUCACUGUGAGUUGGAGCCCAGCCUGGGGGGUUCAAGGACAGCCUCAGCUACAUAGUCAGACCUUGUCUCAAAAAAAAAAAAAAAAAAAAAGAUAUAAACAUACACUUACUCUACAACUCAGGAAUCCCAUCCUCUCGAAGAUGAAAACUCAUGGUCACUCCAGAAGCUGUAUGUGAAUAUCACAGCAGUCUUAUUCUUAGCCACCAAACUUGGAAACAACCUAAAUAUACCUCGCUUGGGGAAUGGAUAACCCAGGAUGGCCCACCUGCCCAAGGAACAGUCAAUACUGAGAAGAAACGAAUUCUUGGUACACAUGGCAACACAAAUCAAUCUGAACUGCACUGUGCUAAGGGAGAGAUGCCAGGCUCAAAAGGGGUAUCAUAACGGAGUCCAUUUGUAUGACAUUGGGAAAAGGUAAAACUACAGAAUGGAAUGGUUUCCAUGGGUAAGAGGUGGUGGUCUGAGUAGAGGGGAAACUACUUUGUGUACUGAUUGUGGCAAUGGUUACAUGGCUGCAAGUAUUUGUCAAAACCCAUACAACUGCCAGGCGUGGUGGCUCAGGCCUCUAAUCCCAGUGCUUGGGAAGUUGAGGCAGAAGAUUACUUUGAGUGUGAGGCCAGCCUAAGCUCCAUGGUAAAUUCAAGGCCAGCCUGAACUAUGUAGUGAGACCCUGUCUCAAAGCAAAUGAGCCCUCCCAUAAAACCAUACAACUGUAUACUUAAAAGAAUGUAUUUUUAUCUAUCAUGUAUUAGUCAGCUUUUUAUUAUCACAGCAAAACACCAGAGAUACUCAAGAUAUAAAGAGAAAAGGUUUAUUUUGGUUCCCAUAUUUGGAGGUUCCAGACUAAGUUCUGUUGGCCUCCUUGCUGUGCCCACAGCACAUCAUGGUGAGAGCAGAAAGUGGACCAGUACCACUUACAUCAUGAGUCAGGUAGCAGAAAUGGGCAGUAGGGGGAGUGCCCUGCAGUUCCCUUUAAGGGUCCACCCCAAUAACCUAAAGACCUCUCACUUAGCCCCACCUUUUAAAGGUUCCACCACCUCUGUGUAGGAUCACUUGGGGACCAAGUCUUUUUUUUUUUUUUUUUUUUUUUUUGUCUCUUUCCUUUUUAUCGGUACUGGGGAUCGAACUCACAACUGCCUGCUUACAAUGCAGGCACUUAUGCUGCUGAGCUAAAUCCCCAGCCCCUGGGAACCAAGUCUUUUAACAUAGCCUUGGGAGGAUGUGCAACAUUCAAAUUAUGCAAUGCUGUCUAUCUGUUAAAAUAUGUUAGAGUGGUAACAAAUAGAAACAGCACAGAAAAAACUAUACAUGCUUAUUGUAUAACACUUGGAAAAUGCAGAAAAAUACAAAGAAGAUCUUUAGUUCUAUAUCCUAGUAAUAACCAGUUAUCCUUGGAGUACCCUUCCAGUUUUUUCUUUUGACGUUUUUAUAUAUUUAAAGUGAUAUAAUCUAGCUUACUAUAUGUAGACAUAGAUAAAGAUACAUACAUAUAUAAUACAGAUACAGUAAUGUAAAUUGUAUCCUGCCUUUAAAAACUACACUAUCAAUUAAAUUAUUUUAGAAACAAUACCCUAUAUUAUAAAACACCUAUAUCAACAGCAUGUGAAUGACUACAUUGUUUUCUAAUUUAAUUUAUUAUUAAAUUUAUUGCCUGAUUGUUGGUCAUAUAGGUUAUUUCAUAUAGCAUAAUAGUUAACUAUUAAUGUUAUUUUAAAUAAUGCAGGGAGUAUCUCUGCUUGAAAAAUUCUGCAUAUAUUUCACACACACACACACACACACACACACACACACACACACACACUCACUCAUAUUUUUUUUUUUUUUGGUACCAGGGAUAGAACUCACAACCUCAUGCUUGCCAGGCAGGCACUUAAGUGACUGAGCUAAAUCACCGGCUCACAUUUUUUAAAUGAAGUUCUAGAAAAUAUUAUUGAGCAAUGAGUAUGCAUCUAUUAAAUUUUAAAAUAUGUUUCAGCUAGAUUGCCUUCUAGGAAACUUAUACCAUUUAGAAACCCAUCAACAGGGUAUCGCAGGCCCUGUAUUCACCCGAUCUCUUCUUUAGCAUUUGGGAUUCAUUUAUUCAUGUGUUAAAUGGAGAUAAUGAUAGAGAAUGUUGUGUUCUUUUAAGAUAAUGUCUCUUACGUCUAUUGUACAAUACCUGUGAUGUCAUUAACACUUUGGUAAUGUCCAUUUUAUGGCUUAUUACUUUAAUUUUUGCUCAUUUAAUGGACAAAAGUGGUGUAUUAUUCACUUUAAUUGCAUUUUAAAAAUUACUGGUAAAUGGUGCUGUUUUUUUUCAGUUGGGGGACAGUAGAUCUUGGAGAUUGAACCCACAAAUGCUAUACCACUGAGUUUCACCCCAUCUUUUACUUUUUCUGACCCAGGGCCUCACUAACUCAUCCAUGCAGGACUCAAACUUUCAAUCCUCCGGCCUUACCCUCUCUUAGAGCUAGGAUUACAGACAUGAGUCACCCUGCCUGGGUACAGAGCUAACUUUUACUAUACAUACUUUGUUUACUAUACAUACGUAUGUUUAAUGUGUCUUAAGUUUUGUAUUGUGCUUUGUUCAUGUGAGGUUUGGGACAAAGUUUUUUGGGGAAAUUUUUUCACAUGGUAAAGGUAGUAAGCUUUUGUUAGGCUUAUAGCAGGUAUUUUUUUCCAGCUUGCUGCUUACUUAAUGAUCUUGUUUUUGAUACUUUUGUGGGUUUUAGCAAUGCUGGCUAUUGAACCUAAGAUCUUGCACAUGGUAGGCAAAUGCUCUGCUACUGAGCUACAUCCUCAGCCUUUGAAAUAUAAAGAUCUAAAAUUUUAUGAAUGAGUCACGCAUAGUAGCAUAUGCCUGUAACCUUAGCCCUUGAGAAGCUGGGGCAGGAGGAUCAUAACUGAGGCCAACCCCGGGCUACAUAGUGAGACCCUGUCUCAAAACAAGCAAAAACAAAUGACAACAAAACUGUCGUAAAAUGUAUAGAUACUUUACAUUAUGAUUUCUUCUCUUGCUUUUAUAUCCUUCUUCCUGUAGAGAAUGAGUAAAUAAUCAUCAGUUUUCUUCUAGUACUUUUGAGUGGUUUUUAAAUUUAACUUUAAAUUUCUGAUACAUACAUACUUUCUCUAAUAUAUUAAAUGAGACUCAGUUUUCUCAGUAACAUUAUAAAUACUCCUUCUAAAUUGAUGAUUCCUCAGUUAUUUGGGAGUUUAUAAUGUUUCUAGGUCUUGUUUUGUUCUUCUCUUUAUUUUUACAUUAGUUCUACAUGUUUUGAUUAUUGCCAGGUAAUAUUUUUAAAUAUUUGCCAGAAAUAUUGCUACAUAAUAUCUUUAAUUAUCUUCUAGGAGAAAUUCCCCUUCUUACCAAUCUUUAAAAAAUUUUUACUUUCUAGCCUUUUUGAUAUAGCACUUUUUUUUUUUGUCUUUUUCCUUUUUACCAGUACCAGGAAUUAAACUCACGACUGCCUGCUUACAAGGCAGGCAUUUAUGCCACUGAGCUAAAUCCCCAGCCCCAACUUUCUAGCCUUUUUAAUUCUUUCAAAUAAACUUUAUAAUCAUUAAUACCCUCAUCUCUAUAAAGUUAGCACAAUAGAAUUGUACUAAGACUGUAAUUUAGGAAGAAUUGAUAUUUUAAAGUUAAAAAAAUUUUGCCCUUCUAGAAAUAUAUCCCAUUUAAAUAUUUUCUCUCAGUGAAGUUUUCUUAUUCUUGUAAUGAAGGUCUCACACAUUCUUUUUUUUAUUUAAAGAAAGACAAAACAAAAUAGAAAAUGGGCAGAAACAGUACAUACUUUCAAAGAAAAGAAAUAAACAGUAAUAAAUCACUAGUUGAUGUAUACAUAUUGUCCCCCCACAAAUAGUUGUUCAAGAUACAAAAGUGGAACAUAUAAAUGGGAAUUCAACCAGGGAGACUGCAAACAGUUCUGUUCAAAUAUCCAACAAAAACUAAGUAAUAUGGCUAUCAAUCCUAUACACUUAGACAUGUACACAUUUAUCCAUAUCUUCAUUUAUGUUGAGAGCUAACAAAAUUUAGUAGAUUAAAAUCCUUCUGAACAAAGAUUAAUAAUAUUGCUGGAUUUCACAUCAUAACACUCCAGAAUCAGCACUGAGUACUACAGUGCCCCUUUCUUUCCUUCAAAGUAUUUGUUCAUUUCAUCAUGUGUCAUAAGAUCAGUUCUCAUAAACUGUUUAUAAGUUUUAUGCAAGCAUGAGUCUUAACAUGUAUUUCUAUCCUUUCUAUAUUAGAGGGAGAAACAGAACAAAGCAGGACAGAACUAAACAUUUUCCUAUAGACACAUAAAACUAAAAAGACAUAUAAAACUGCUGUAUAAGGAAUUCUACCAUGGUCACUGUGCUGUUUCUUGUUAUCAUCAACAGAAUUGGCUAUAUAAUCAGAUAAAGUACAAUUGAACAUAUCAGUACAUAACAGAAUUAACAGAAAUACAACUUUGUAGAUAGUGUAGAGCUACAAAAACAGGUGGUAGUCAAAUCAGAAUGGAUAUCCUGCUGAAUCAUUGUCAUUUUCAGUAUAGUUGUCUAUACUCCUCAACUUGAUACCAGCAAACUAACAGUUUUAAAUAAAAUUUGUCAGUAAUAAGCAACAAUCAAACAAGUCAGAUUUAACUAUGAUAAAUCAUGAUACAACAGUGUAAGUCAUAUAGGGAUCCUGAUUGAGUUAAUAAGAAAUUAAAGAUGACCACUGUGCUAUGGACAGCUGUCAGUGCCCCUUAGAUCCAGUGCUUGUAUACAAACUAGGAUGGAACAAUUUCCAACCAAGCAGAGUGGUGCGAGUAAUAGGGGUUUUAAUUCCUGAUACACUAUUAGCUGUAUCUUCUGCUGUUGUUUUUUUUUUUUUUGAAGACUAUUUCUCCGCUUUGUUCCCCCAGAAUGAACUGUGUAUUUUUGGAUCUCCUCAACACUCAUGGUUUUGUAUGGCGGGGGCAACCUGCUAUUUACCUAAGUGUUUCCAAACUUUCUCACUUCUGGGCUGGAUUUCUAGUUAUAUUUCUUCAUUUAUUAAAGCCUGUCUGGUCAACCUUUCCAUAAAUACUGGUCUAGUUACCCCUAUUACUCUCUGGUUCAAAGUGAUAGUGUUCUAUCACUUUGAGUUCCGUUUUCUAAUAUUUGAUUUGGGUCUAUAUAACCUUCUUCAGGCUAAUUAUAUUUCCUAUAAAAAAGAGCCUCUCGGUGGACCCUACCUCUUGAUCCACUCUGCCUGACAUUCUCUCUUUUUUCCCUUAAGUUAGUGUAUCUAGGCCAUCUAUAUUAGAAAUUAUAUCCAACCUUCUUUGCUUCAUUUCUGUUGAGCUCUUUUUCUGUCAUGAGUUGUCUGUUUGUCUCCUUCAUUUUUCUUUCUACUCCAUUCAUUGUGGCCUCUCUGCCACUGUUUCUGGAAUCCUGGUACUUUUCUCUCUCUUUAGAAUGUCCUGCAGUAUUCUCUGUAGAGUUGGAUUGGUAGUUGCGAAUUCCCCCAGUUCCUCUUUAUCUUGGAAGCACCUUGUUUCUCCAUUAAUUUCUAGGGACAGUUGUGCAGGAUAUAUCACUCUUGGCUGGAGGUUAUUGUCUUUUAAGGCUUGGAUUAUUUCACCCCAUACUCUUCAAGAUUUGAUGGUUUGUGCCGAGAAGGCUGCUGUAAUUCUGAUGAGUGUUUCCUUGUAAGUGAUCUGUUUCUUGUCUCUGACAGCUUUUAACAUUCUGUUCUUAUAUUGGAUUUCUGGAAUCUUGAUUAUUAUAGGUCUAGGUAUAGUUCUGUUUUGAUUGUAGGUGGCUGGAGUACUGUAUGCCUCAUACAUCUGAGCAUCUUUUCCUUUUACUAUGUUUGUGAAGUUUUCCUUGAUUAUUUCUGUGAAUAGCCUUUGUAGUUCCUUUGUACUCCUACUUCUUCAUUCACAUUCUUUAUUCUUAAGUUAUAUAUCCUCUUGUCAUCUUCUAGCCUUUGUAUUGUUACUACUUGUUUCCUUGUUAUUUUUAAGAAGUUUUUCCUUUCAUAUUCCCACAUUACAAACCUGUCCUCCAGUUCAGAUAAUCUAUCCUUGGUUUCUUUCAAACUGUUAUGCCAGCUUUCAAUAGAGAUUUUAGUUUCCUGGUAAUCUCUUUGAAUCUGCUUCAUGUAUUCUAUGUUUUCUCUAUUUUUUCCAUCAAACAAUUCCCCCCCCCCUUUUUUUUGUUCUUCCAUUCUACCAUCUGUUUUUUCUUGGGAGGUAUUUAGCAUUUCUUUAAUUAUGCUAUUUAUAUUUUGCUUUACUUGAUUAAAUACUUCACUUUUGAACUCAUCUAUGAGGUCCCUAUGAUAUCACCUUAUGUCUAUUGAUGCCAUGCCUGAUAUUGCAUGUUUUCUUUCCUCAUUCUCCUUUGUGUUUACUUUUCUUGGAUCAGUGUUCUCAGGAUUGGGGACUGAGGACCCUUUCUUGUUACCUCCUCUUCUCAUAUUUUUUGUUCCUUCCAUACAGGCAUGUAUAGGAGGCUCAAUUUCUUUCUUUGUCAAUUUCAGUUUGUCUGAAGUGGGCUGACUAGGUGUUCCCACCCACUGCAGUGUACUAGGAGGUACAGACCCGGGCAGCCUAUGAUGGACCCGCCCCUCCAGGUCAACCUACUGAAGGCUUCACUGUGUUAGGAUGCACUACCAGUCACAGGGACUUGAUUUGGGCCUGCCUAUUGGGCCUCAGUCUGUGGUGUCACCCAGGUCAAGCACUCCCCACCAAUCCAGCUUGAGAAGGGAAUAUGGGACUGAAGUCACUGCAGCGCCCUGUUCCAGCCAGUCUGCUAGGUCCCAGAAUGUCCUCUGUUGGAGCCUCUUUGUCUAUGGAAGGGUCUUUAUUCCUCUCACUCACCACAGGUAGAUGCAGGGUUUCCUGCCAGCUCUGCUCUCAAUUGGGUUCGCCGACUCUCACUCUCAGAGUGUUCGUGUCCCCAGUGAGUUGAAACUAGUAGGCUAUCCCGGCUGUGCCAAUUCAGGCGCAGCAGCAGCAGUGAGUUCAAUCUGUGAGUUCUAGCAGCAGCACCAAGACUUUAGCUGUUCCAGUCGUAGCACCUGAACUGCAUUUCCAAUUGGUUUCUCUCAGCUUAGUCCAUUCCUGGGUUGGCAGGAUAUAUCUCCCUCUGCUUAGGACUCCCCAUGCUGCACCAUUCCUGGAAUCUAAGCUGGCUAUCUCAGAGAGCCUCUGUAGCUGCUAUUAUGAACCUGCUGUCUUUUCUCCUCCCCUUAAUACAUUCUUUAUAAAGGUUAUUCCCAAGCAGUUUGUGUGAUUUUUCUUUUUACUUCUUAUUUCCUCGAUUGUGAAUGCAAUCUUUUUUAAAAAUGUGUAUGUCUUUUGCUGUUUGAUGCUGGAGGGUUACGGUAUUGAUUUUGAUUUACUUAUUUUAUAACCUGCUCUUUUAUAGAAAUAUGACUAAGUUUAAUAGUUUUCUGGGUUUUUUUUUCUUCUCUCUUUCCUUUGUGGUACAGGGUCUGGAGCCACAAAGUGCUUUUCCAACUCAGCUAUAUCCUACAUCCCUGUAUUUUCUCCUGACAUAUGGCUUCCCCUUUCCCAAUAAGUACUUGUUAAAAAAUGCCUGAUGGUCAUCAUCUACAGAUAGUGACAAUCCCUCAUGUUUCAUUUCCCAUAGCUAUGCCUCUCAUUUUUGCUUGUUUUUGUGUCAGUCAGAAGGUUCAAAGCAAUGCUAAAUAUAUAAGAAAUUUUAUUUAUUUAUUUAUCAAGACAGGGUCUCACUAUGCAGUUCAGGCUGGCCUUAAACUACUAUAUAACCCAGGUUGACCUCGAACUCAUGGUGAUCCUCCUGCCUCAGCCUCCCGGGUAGGCAUGCACCACCAUACCUGGCCUAAGAAUUGUUAUUUAAAAGAACUGAUUGUUUAGCUUUGGGUUUAUAUUACAUAGAAGGUUUUAUACUUAUUUUUCCUUAAGGUCUUUGUCUUAAACACAUGUUAAUAUCAUUUUUAACAUUAGCUUAACAAAAAUAAUUUAAAAACCUAAUUACAGUGUCCAACUUACUUUGCAUUGUUUAAUGAUUCUGUACCACACUUCUGUAUCUUAGGUUACCAAAGACAAUAGGAAGACAGUCUUAGCCUACCUGUGUAUUUCAUUCACUUUGCACUAUUGUUUGGAGAUACUUGUAAUGCACAAAUUAUCUGUGAGAGCCACAGUCAUAAAGUGGAGUUCUGCUUUAGUCAUGUAACUUAGCUUUUAAUUAAUAAAAAAAUUGAGACAUCAGAAGUGAAGAACAGUCUUACAUACUGCUGUAUAUUCUUUGUUGUUCAGCUUUAACAACUGUCCUAUUUAGCUGUCCUGCUCCAUCGAAUUCACAAAGGCCGAGCAUAUGGGGAGGACCAUUGUGCAGAGCCACACCCACAAUUACAUAAAGCAAUCAGAAGAAUCUUCAUCCGGGCACUUUUAGUUUAAUCGUGGAAGAUGUGCUGUUGGUGUGAAUCUUAAAUAACACAGAAGGGUGUGGAGUCACAUAGACCCCAGUCCCACUCCCUAUGGGAACCCAUUGGCAGGUUCUGGGGUUCUUCCAGGCGAGCAGCUGGGUGUGCCAAGUCGCCCCAUCCCAGGCCAACUGGGGAAAGUCAGUGUAGUCUCCUCACCAAGUAUGCAGAGCCAUGCAGGUGUUGACUUUUAUAAAAGGAGACACAGUCUGAACUGUGUAAGGACAAAAGUGGUCUUCCUGUGAUAGGACCUGGCUGAAAUAAAAUACCAACCCUGGUGCUCUUGUGCUGUGGAUAAUUUGAAUCCCUCUUGAGCUGUGGAUCUUUUUCAUUCUCCUUACUUUUUAAAUUAAAUUUUUUUUUUUUUUUUUUUUUUUUGGUGCCGGGAAUUGAAUGCACAGCCUUAUGCUUGACAGGCAGGCGCUUUCUCUCACUGACUAUAUCCCCAGCCUGUCUCCUUAUUUGUGGCUCUGGGAAGCUGAUGGGAAUAUGAAACACAUACUGCUUGUGAAAACGAUGGCAGGAGGUGAAGCUAAGAGGCCUAAGAGUGCUUGUUUUUCCUUUUAUCCUCACAAUGGUAGUCAGGAAAAAGAUCAGGGCGCCAUGCAUUUCUGUUGGCUUUAUUACUGAAAUAAUCAGCUAUUUCCUAAACAGAGUUACCCAGUACCCCGCCCAUUAUUUUAGAAUUUACUAUUAAAGAAAGUGCAGUCCUUUAUUGGAUACUUGACCUGGAUCAAAGGUCAAUGUGUGGAAUAUGGGAUUUAUAAAAACUACAGUGAAACUGGGCAUGGUGGUGCACUCCAGUAAUCCCAGCACUCAGGUGGCUAAGGCAGGGGGAUCAUUGCAAAUUUGAGACCAACCUGGGCUACAAAGUGAGGCCAGAGCCAGCUUGAACUGCAUAGCGAGACCCUGUCUCAAAAAGAAAAGAAAAAAAAAAAGAGCUACAGUUAUGUCAUAGAGUUGAGUGUAAUCCAAUAGGAGAUUUUCCAGGAUUUUACAGUCAGCUUUUCCCUAGGGUUUUGUAAGCUGCAAAAAGGAUGUAAUUAUGGUUGCUGCCGGGUGGAUGCAGUUAUAUGUACCUUGCCACGGUGGGUUCAUAUAGUUAGCAAGCUUAGCUGUCAGGUUUAAUUGUACUGUAACUCCAGCUGGGUUUUUGUGGUUAUUCACAUCUGAAUGAAAAGACAAAGCAGUUAAUAUUUAUUAAGCAAAAGAGCCCUGCCUUAGUCCGUUUUUCUGUUGCAAUAACAGUGUCCCUCGGCAAUUCAUAAAGGAAAAGUGUUUAUUUUGGCUCAUGAUUCUGGGGGCUGCAAAGUUCAGGAAUGUGCAGCUAGCAGCUUGCCUGGCUGCUGGCACAGGAUUUGCGCAGCUAUAACUCAUGGAGGAAAGCAGAAGGGUGAGCAGUCUGCGUGAAUGAGAGACACGGAUGAGGGGGCCAGAUAUUCAUAACAGCCCACUGCCAUGGUAACUAAUCUGCCCAUGGGGAACUACAACCCUGCAUUUGUCUGGAGCCCCAGGAACCAAGCAUCUCCUGAAGGCCUCCACUUCCAGCACCAUUGCCUCAGCAACUGAAUUUGAACACAGGCUUAAGGGGGGCUAGAGUGUCCAAGUCCCACAGGCUGUCUGCGGCGAGCCACGCUGAUGGAUUGCUCACAAACCGUAGUCUGAAAGCUGGUUUAUCUGACUCGCUGUAUUAGAAAACUUUCAGACUUUUCAUUCAUCCUGAGUCAACACAAUCACAGUACCCAACCAGUAGAAAAGAAGGAGCUUUUGUAACUAUUAGACUCUUGUUAUAUUACAUUUAUUCCUAUUAAUUUAGUUCUUUUCUUCAAAGACUUAUGUCCAGGUAAUGCCAACCAAGAACGAGUCUCUUGCAAGGAAUGAUAGGCUGAUAGAAAUUAGAAAAGUUAGGUGCAGGGUGCUUGGCUGGCGUGUUUGAGGCCCUAGGUUCCGUCCCCAGCAUCAAAAGAUAAUCAUGCUCAUGUUCACCUUGGGGUUAGGACCCAGGGUUGGUCAGGAAGGGUCUUGAAGUUACAUUAUGGGGUGGAUGGAAAUUGUAUAUCGUCACAACCAGCCGAGUGGUUACCUGGAGUAUCUUUUUGUCUAACUUCACUGAAAUGUAUAUUUUGGAUACAAAUAUUUCAAGGUAUAAGUUGUCAUAAAAGUGUACAGUCAUGUUUACAUUUUAAAACCUUAGUACAGUAAAAGACGCACACCGUUAACCUCCCUUUAAAUACUCCUACUUGCUUACACCACACGCAUUUCAUCAUUCUUGUCCCUUUCUGAAGUGGUUUGGAAGUGCUCUGUCAGGGAUGCCUUACAAAUACGAUUACAAACCACAGUGAAUUCUGCUGCCAAGAGCUGUCUAACAGCAAGACGGAGUCAUCAGAACACGUAGGUGCGUCCUCACCCACCCUGUUCACCAGAACUGACACCUCGGGUAGCUUCUGGCUCUUCUCCAAUGUCAACAUGACCAUGAAAAGUAAAUAGUUUGAAUUGAUCCAGCCACAACAGUGUAACUGAAGACACUCACAAGGAAUUUCAACACUGCUUCGGAAAGUGGCAAGAAGGUUUCUAUCAGUGUAUCUGAAGGUAGGGGGAGUAUUUUGAGGAUGAUUAAUUACAAUGUGUUUUUCACUGUAAUAUUUAAAUUUUAUUUUAUUUUUGCCUUUUUGGGACAGGAUCUCUUUAUGUAGUUCAGGAUAGCCUUAAACUCAGUUUAUAGCCCAGGCUAAUCUUGAACUUGCAAUGAUCCUCCUGCCUCAGCCUCCCGAGUGCUGGGACUACAGGUAUGUGCCACCAUGUGUGGCUUACUGUAAUAGAUUUUAAAAUUUAUCAUUAACCAUAUCUUUGACCACAUCACACAUCUAUUUUAAUCUGUUCCCUAAAACUAAAGUUAAACACAUUUGAUAAAAUCUUUCCAUUUCUAUUAAUUGCAAUCCUUACUGUGAAAAAUUAGCUGGAAUAAAACAAUGAAAGACUGAAUAUUUGUACACAAAAGCUACUCACCAUUUGCUCAUUGGCUAUUUCACAGUGUGCCUUUUAUUAAAGACACAACAUUCAUAAGCAAUUUUGGAGCACAAUGUUUAUUAGCAAUAACUUUAAGCAUGAAGAACCAAUCAGAGUGUAUUAGGGAAACCAGCCUUUGUCUGUGAGUGAGUUUGCUUCACACAUCCUGGUUCCAAAAGGCGAGCACCAUGCUUCUCGUGGGUGAGGUGGGAUGCUGGCCACACAGUGACAGGCAGAGGGCAUCCGUCCUUUGAGGAGCAUGCUGUACUUUGACCCAGUCCUAGGGAGUAGCUCACAAGACACUCUACUGCCCACCUGGGGGGAUUCGAACCACGUGCUGUGCCUAUCUCUGCUGCCACCCCAUGGUGAGUUCCAUGGGCUGUAAUGUUGUUGUUUAACCCUCCCCUGGGCCUCGAACUCAGGACCUUGCGCUUGCAGGGAGGGCUUGUGCCUCUGAGCAGCAUCCUUGGCCCUGGGCUGCAGUGUUAAGCUCCAGAUCUUGUCCUUGGUAGCCAGGGGGAGGUUGGAAGAAAAGGAGAGCAGAAAUUUGACAUAGGAAAAAUAUUUUAACAAGAGCAUCCCUGUGAUUUUAUUUUUAAUACCUGAUGUCUCCUGGCAGGAUACCUCUAAAAGGAAAUUCUUCUCGCUGGCUCUCAUCACAUAGUGUCUAUCAGGUCCCCCAACUCCUUUGGCUUCAAAGUGAGAGGAUAAUCUGCCAGGGCCUUAAUCCUGUGAGCACUCACCAACCCUGAGUCAACUCUGAGGAAUGCAGCGACCUUGACUGAACUUCAAAGGGUUUAGCCAGGAGAGAGGAUUAAACCCACUGAGAGCGCAGUUCCUGGGGGGUGUGGAGAGCGCCAGGGAGUUUGCGGUUCCAUGGCUUCCCGGUGCACACAGUGCGAGCCCCGCGACCCCGGGUUCUCCCCUUACACCUUGGUGCGGAUAACGGAGGCAGAGAUGAGGGCGUAUUCCCGCUUCCUAGGGAGCUGCAUCGCGCUAGAGUACAGGGCAAAAGAAGCACUUCCGCUGGUCAAACCCUGCCUGUCCUCUGAAGCACUGUGUGUCCCUGAUGUCGGCAGUAAUUCAGCCCACAAUCCAUCAUAGCAUUGGGAUGCCAGUCGCCUUUUCUUUGGAGGACCUAGACCAAGAGACGUGGGCUCUCUCCGUGGGCUUGGCCAGCUAAGAGAGCGGACGUCAUGGCAACCGUGAGCCCCGCCCACACUGAGCUGCGGCCCAUGAGUGACAGAGGCACCUUCACUCACGUUUUAUGGGAGGGAGGCCGUGGUGUAAGGAGCCUUCCGAGGGCAGAGCAUGGGUCAGAGGUGACAAGGAAACUUUCUGGGGGAUGAAAGGGAGCUGUAUCUUGCGCUGUAUCUGUAGCAUGGUUAUAUAAGUGUACAUAUUGAUCAAAAUUUAAUAGGUUGUGCACUUAGGAGUUGUGCAUUCUGUUGCGUGGAAAUUAUGCUUCAAUAAAGUUUUGUUUGUAUAAAAAUAAGGGCUA